GUAGUUGCAGUAGACAGUCCAGUGUUGCUGUUUGCAAGGGAAGUUGGUGUGCCCCGUUAGAAAUAUUCCUUAUCCUGACUUUGUCGGGAUAUUUUGUGAAAGAAGUUCAUAAUAGCACGAAUUUCUAACGGGGUGUGAAGCCAACGCUGCCCCGCAACUGUAAGGGGAACGAAAUUUGCACUAAUCCACUGUCUCGAUUUUUAUCGGGAUGGGAAGGAGCAAAUAGUAGGUUGCCCCAAGUCAGGAAACCUUGGACAGCAGGGUAUAUCUU
rnacentral:ncRNA from 2 species